GACGAACGCUGGCGGCGUGCCUAGUACAUGCAAGUCGAGCGGAUCUUUAGGAGCUUGCUCCUGAAGAUUAGCGGCGGACGGGUGAGUAACACGUGGGCAACCUGCCUGUAAGACUGGGAUAACACCGGGAAACCGGUGCUAAUACCGGAUAAUUCUUUUCCUCACAUGAGGGAAAGCUGAAAGUCGGUUUCGGCUGACACUUACAGAUGGGCCCGCGGCGCAUUAGCUAGUUGGUGAGGUAACGGCUCACCAAGGCGACGAUGCGUAGCCGACCUGAGAGGGUGAUCGGCCAAACUGGACCUGAGACCCGGCCCAGACUCCUGCGGGAGGCAGCAGUAGGGAAUCUUCCGCAAUGGACGAAAGUCUGACGGAGCAACGCCGCGUGAGUGAUGAAGGCCUUCGUGUCGUAAAACUCUGUUGUUAGGGAAGAACAAGUAUCGGAGUAACUGCCGGUACCUUGACGGUACCUAACCAGAAAGCCACGGCUAACUACGUGCCAGCAGCCGCCGUAA
rnacentral:rRNA from 1 species